UGGAAUUUCUCCAAGUCAGAGCCACAACUACAUUUUAUUCUACUCACUCUAGGAGAACUCCAAAUUAGGCCCGUUUUUACUUGGGAUGCAUUGCUAAUUGAUGUUUUCCCUACACUGAUGAGGAUUUUAGUGAGAGAAGAAGCACUGUGAAAAGAAAUUGAAGAGAGUUAGCUGCUAAAAUUGAAGCCAUGAGAGGGACCCAUUCCACAAAUACACACUCUCUGUUGAUCCUCCCAUCUUUCUGUCUCUAAGCUUCUAUCUUUCUUUCUCCACUUUCCCUCUCUAAACCAACUCCCUCAUUGCAAUCUUAUUUCAUUCAGUUGGGGAUUCAUAGGUGGUCGAAAAUGGAAGGCUGAGAGCGUCAAUGGACGCUUGGGUUGGAUCAUAUUUCCAAGUCAAAACACCAAGCGAAGGUAACAAUGACUCCUUUUGGUGAUGUAUGCUUUACGGUGUGAGUAUACGAUGCUUUACGGAGGACACUAACGAGUGAGAGAGAGAAAGUCCAUUAAUCUAAAAGCAUGGAGGUGAAGUUUAUGAUAUGGUUCAUGAUCACGCAAUAUGUCACGGCCAUUGAUGAGCGUGGGAAUGAGUGUGGUUUAUACCAUUGAGUAGAUGGAUCAUAUGUGUGGAUAGAUUUGUUGUUUGAAGAUGUAUGGCUCAAGCACCUUCUAUAUAGCUACUAAAAGUUUGUAUGGUAAUUUUACAAAUACUUUAAAAGAAGUGGGGGAAUGUUAGAGAAAACGUGUUU